rnacentral:rRNA from 1 species
GAGUAAUAAAAACUAAUUUUCCACCUGAGAACUACGAACUAACGUUUAAAACUCAAAGGACUUGGCGGUUUUUUAAAUCUUUCUGGAGGAGCUUGCUAUCAAACCGAUAAUCCACGAAAUACCUCACCAAUCUUUGAAAAUACAACCUGUAUACCAUCAUCGUCAGCCUACUCCUCAAGGAAAGUAUGCAAAAAGAGAUCCUCUCACUACGUUAGAUCGAGGUGCAGUUUAUAGAUUGGGGAUAAGUGAGCUACAAUAAUACAACAAAUAAAAUAUAAAUAUGAACAGCUUAAUGAAAAAAAGCUCCAAACAGAAUUCAGUAGUAAUGACUUAACAGAAAAUAAGCAUGAAAAAACAAAAAGCUCUAAAAUGCGC